UACGUAGGGCGCAAGCGUUGUCCGGAAUUAUUGGGCGUAAAGAGCUCGUAGGUGGCGUGUCGCGUCUGCCGUGAAAGCCCAUGGCUUAACUGUGGGUCUGCGGUGGAUACGGGCAGGCUGGAGGCUGGUAGGGGCAAGCGGAAUUUCUGGUGUAGCGGUGAAAUGCGCAGAUAUCAGGAGGAACACCGGUGGCGAAGGCGGGUCUCUGGGCCGAUACUGACGCUGAGGAGCGAAAGCGUGGGGAGCAAACAGG
rnacentral:rRNA from 1 species